rnacentral:rRNA from 1 species
CAAUCCACCAGUGGCGGACGGGUGAGUAAUGUAUCGCUAAUGUGCCCUUGACUCUGGGAUAGCUGCGGGAAACUGCGGGUAAUACCAGAUGACAUAACCGAAUCGCAUGGUUUGGUUCUCAAAGGAGCAAUACGGUCAGGGAGCAGGCGAUAUCGUAUCAGCUAGUUGGUGAGGUAACGGCUCACCAAGGCGACGACGCGUAGCUGGUCUGAGAGGACGGCCAGCCACAUUGGGACUGAGACACUGCCCAGACUCCUACGGGAGGCAGCAGUGGGGAAUCUUGCGCAAUGGGCGGAAGCCUGACGCAGCAACGCCGCGUGGGGGAUGACGGCCUUCGGGUUGUAAACCUCUUUCGCGAUCGACGAAGGCCCGGUUUUUGUCGGGUUGACGGUAGGUCGAGAAGAAGCACCGGCCAACUACGUGCCAGCAGCCGCGGUAAUACGUAGGGUGCGAGCGUUGUCCGGAAUUAUUGGGCGUAAAGAGCUCGUAGGCGGUGUGUCGCGUCGGCCGUGAAAACCUGGGGCUCAACUCUGGGCGUGCGGUCGAUACGGGCAUCACUUGAGUUCGGCAGGGGAGACUGGAAUUCCUGGUGUAGCGGUGAAAUGCGCAGAUAUCAGGAGGAACACCGGUGGCGAAGGCGGGUCUCUGGGCCGAUACUGACGCUGAGGAGCGAAAGCAUGGGUAGCGAACAGGAUUAGAUACCCUGGUAGUCCAUGCCGUAAACGAUGGGUACUAGGUGUGGCGGGAGUUGACCCCUGCCGUGCCGGCGCUAACGCAGUAAGUACCCCGCCUGGGGAGUACGGCCGCAAGGCUAAAACUCAAAUGAAUUGACGGGG